CAGUUUCCAAAUUUGUCGGUGAACGCAAAAUCUGAUAUUUGAGAUUUAUUAUUGAAGCAAAGUUGUCAUACUUUGUUAUCGAUGGAAUAAUUUCCAUGAAUUUUAGACUCCGUGGAACAGGCAAUCUGAAAUAACUUGAGUCACUUUACAGAUAAACGUCAAGCAGUGUUGAUGAAAAAUGUAAAAGAGGAAACAAAAAGAAAAUUCAUAUUUUUCACUGUAAUGACGGAUAGAUUUCAAGAAAAGUUAAAUUAAUAUCAAAAUGAAUGCUUGAAUAUGAUCUACCCGAUGUCCAUGGGAACUACAGACUGCACUUUAAUCAUCCAAUGAAUACGGACUAUGAUUUUAAGAAAGCAAUUUCGGAAAACCUAUAUUUACAGAUGAAGGAAAGUUGUGUCAAUUGUGUUCAAGCAGAGAAAUUUUCAAUACGAUGAUUAAAAUAGUCUUGAAGCAAAUAAAGCUGCUGACGUGAAUCCCUGCCUACAUUCUGAAUUUCUUUUCACAUUUCUUGACAUUCUUGAAACGAACGCAAUUAUCUUGAUGAAAGCAAGUAAAAACCUCAAGCCAAUAUGACAUUCUUCACAUGGAAAUAUAUCGCAAAAUAACUUGAUAUUUGUAUAAAUAUCUAAAAGAAAAAAGAAAAAUUUUGUUGGCGACAAGAAGAAAAUUAGGAAAGAGAUAGAAGUGUGAUAACUCUAAGGAAAAACAUCCAUCAAGAAAUUAUGUCGGCCAUAACACAUUCUCCGAUGUAUCCUUCAGACAUGUUUAGUGAAGAUAAUUCAACACAGAUCCUUUUCUAUGAUAAUGCCACCAACAUAACAGAAGACGAAUUACCUCUUGAUACAAAUAAUUUAUUAGUGGCUUAUCACUACUGGUACGCAGGCAUUCAUGGUUAUGUAGCUUCCAUCGUUUGCAUAUUUGGAGUCAUCACGAAUAUUCUCAACAUUAUUGUACUGACAAGAAAAAAUAUGAUUUCUCCGUCAAAUAUAAUCCUGACUGGACUGGCCAUUAGCGAUGGGCUUACAAUGGCUCUCUACUUCCCAUUUGCUUUAAACAAUUAUGUCAUCUAUGGACCAGAUUCUCCAGAAAGU